rnacentral:rRNA from 1 species
GUUGGAAACAGCGGUUAGGAGCUUACACCCACCCGUGUCUACAUACUAUUGUUGCUUUGGCGGGCCGUGGCCUCCACUGCGGGCUCUGCUCGUGUGUGCCCGCCAGAAAACCAAACUCUGAAUGUUAGUGAUGUCUGAUUACUAUCUAAUAGUUAAAACUUUCAACAACGGAUCUCUUGGUUCUGGCAUCGCAUGAAAAACGCAACGCAAAUGCGAUAAGAUAAUGUAGAAUUGCAUUAAUUCAGUUGAAUCAUCUCAAUCUUUGAACGCACAUUGCGCCCUGUGGUAGUCCGCAGGGCAUGCCUGUUCGAGCGUCAUUUAACCACUCACGCCUAGCGUGGUAUUGGGGCACGCGGUCUCCGCGGCCCUCAAAAUUAGUGGCGGCGCCGGUGGGCUCUAAGCGUACUACAUACUCCCGCUAUAGAGUUCCCCCGGUGGCUCGCCAGAACCACCAAUUUUUACAGGUUGACCUCGGAUCAGGUAGGGAUACCCGCUGAACUUAAUCAUAUCAUAAGCCGGAGGAAACUUAAGCAUAUCAAUA